CAAUUUUCUGGAAAACAUUUUUCUCUGGCAGAAUGAGAAGAUGAUCCUGACAGCGGGGAGGAGACUGAGGGAGAGAGAGAGUCCCUUCCUUGAGGACACGCAGGCGUGCAUGAGCUUUCCGUCCAGGAAUCCCACCAGGUUCUGUGGUAAAGAGCAAGAAAAGAUCCUCUGAGGAAUCUGGCAUGAAAGGGAGAAAUCUACCUUUGUGAAAUAUGCCCAGAGCAUUCUCUUGAAGGACACAUCUGCAGAUAAAGCAACUUUAUCAGAGCCUUCUCUCUGCUGAAGAAGGGUACUACCUCUUCCACUCUCCCCAAUUCCAGCCCCCUCUAGCCUUCUUAUCUCACUUUAGAGGGGAAGGAAGCAGGGCCACUGACCACAGAAAAGAUAAAAUGUGUCCAUCUUAGCAAGGAAUUGCUCAAGGUGAGAGCAAUUACAAUAAUUAUAGUUAGACCCAUGUCUAUAUUUCCCUGGUGGAAGUAAUAUUUCCCUGAUUGAAGUAAUUACUGCAUUUGAGCCCAGCAUCUUAAAGAGAUACAAAUAUACCACUGUAUCAGUCAGGGUUCUCUAGAGGGAAGGGACUCAUGGGUUAGAGGUAUAUGUGAAAGCGAGUUUAUUACACAAUCACAAGCUGAAGCUCCACAGUAGUCCAUCUGCAAGCUGAGGAGCCAGGCAGCCAGUCCAAGUCCCAAAACCUCCAAAGUAGGGAAGCCGACAGUGCAACCUUCAGUCUGUGGCCAAAGGCCUGAGAGCCCCUGGUAAAUCACUGCUGUAGGUCCAAGAGGCCAAAAUCUGAAGAACUUGGAUUCUGCUGUUCGAUGGCAGGAAGCACCCAGCAUGGGAGAAAGAUGGAGGCCAGAAGACUAAGCCAGUCCAGUCCUUCCACGUUCCUCUGCUUGCUUUUACCCUAACCGCACAGGCAGCUGAUUAGAUGGCACCCACUCAGAUUGAGGAUGGGUCUGCCUCUCCCAGUCCGCUGACUCAAAUGUUAAUCUCUUUUGGCAACCCCUUCACAGACACACCCAAGAACAAUACUUUGCAUCCUUCAGUCUAAUCAAGUUGACACUUAGUAUUAACCACCACAACCACAAAACAUAGAAUAUCUUCAUUUGCCCUCAAAAAUGAUGGAAUUUUAAAAGAGGUUCUCAUUUUUUUCCCCAAAAAUCAGUGUGUAUGGCCUUCUGAGAAACAGAGUAGGUGUAGAGAGAGAGAGUGGAAGAGAGA
rnacentral:lncRNA from 1 species